rnacentral:rRNA from 1 species
GACGAACGCUGGCGGCGUGCUUAACACAUGCAAGUCGAACGCUGAACCCGCUUCGGUGGGGGAUGAGUGGCGAACGGGUGAGUAACACGUGGGCAACCUGCCCCCGGCUCUGGGAUAACUCCAAGAAAUUGGGGCUAAUACCGGAUGUGACCGCUGGCCGCAUGGUCUGGUGGUGGAAAGGGUUUCCGGCUGGGGAUGGGCCCGCGGCCUAUCAGCUUGUUGGUGGGGUAGUGGCCUACCAAGGCGACGACGGGUAGCCGGCCUGAGAGGGUGACCGGCCACACUGGGACUGAGACACGGCCCAGACUCCUACGGGAGGCAGCAGUGGGGAAUAUUGCGCAAUGGGCGGAAGCCUGACGCAGCGACGCCGCGUGGAGGAUGACGGCCUUCGGGUUGUAAACCUCUUUCAGCAGGGACGAAGCGCAAGUGACGGUACCUGCAGAAGAAGCACCGGCCAACUACGUG